GGAGGGGGCUGAAGGGGGCGGAACCGUCCCGAGGGCGGCUGGCAGCUCGGGAGCUCAGCGCCGCGCUCUAGGGUUCCCACACCGACCUCCUCCCGAGCCCUCGCCGUGUGGCUUCGGUCGCUACCGAGCCGCGCCUCCUCCGCUUCCUUCGCCUCCUCCUGGCUGCCCUCGAGAGGCGCCGCCACUUCCUGCGGUGCUGAAGGGCUGGGGUAUGGGCCUGGGCCUACAGCGCGGCGGCGCAGAGAGCCGGCUGGUCGUUGACUUGAGGUGUUGAGGGGUUGGGGGCCGCGAUGGCGCUCCCCCUAGGGCGCCUCGGUUGACUGGCAGUUCUGCUUCACAUGGGCCCAGGCACAGCUGGAAGUUCCAAAAUGGCUUCCCUCACCCGGUGGGCAGUUUGUGCGGGCUAGAGGCUGCCUUAGAAUGGUCGUGGGUCAGGGGCCUUGGCUCUUCUCCACUCGGACCUCUCCAUAAAGGCCUUUCACAUGACUGCUUGGGUUGCCUCACAAACUGGAGGGUGAGUUCCAAGAAGGAGCAUUUAAAGACAAGAAGGAAAGAAAGCAAGGUGAUGGGCUGUGAGGAAGGAACCUUGACAAUUUCUCCCGGGAAAAUUCAAAGCCCAAGCUGAGGAGCCUGUGAGAAGUGAUUGGUCCAGUGCCAUGGGAAUCUAGAAUAAGAAACACCACCACCCAUCUUAAUCUCACUGGAGAUAUAUGAAAAGGACUGUUUCAUUGUGACUUUUUUUUUAAGAUUUUUAUCAUUUUUUAAGUUAUCUCUACACCCAAUGUGGGGCUUGAACUCACAACCCUGAGAUCAAGAGCCACACAUUCCACCGACUGAGCCAGCCAGGCACCCCUCAUUUUGACUUAUUUUUUCUUCCAUCGUUAUUUACUUCAAGUAGAAUUAGAUAAAGCCAAGAAAAGCAAAUGUGAGAACAAUGCGGUCCCAUUUUCACCUAUUAAAAAUUUAAGCAGCAGUAUAAUAGCUAUGCUGGCAAAUGGUGGGAAGAUGGUUUGCUUCUAAAUGACUGGUGACUGGAUAUGGGGCGCCUGGGUGGCUCAGUUGGUUAAGCAACUGCCUUUGGCUUGGGUCAUGAUCCUGGAGUUCCGGGAUUGAGUCCCACAACGGGCUCCCUGCUCAGCAGGGAGUCUGCUUCUCUCUCUGACCCUCUUCCCUCUCGUGCUCUCUAUCUCUCAUUCUCUCUCUCUCAAAUAAAUAAAUAAAAUCUUUAAAAAAAAAUAAAUGACCAGUGACUGGAUAAAGUGGUCCAGCUGGUGGAGA